rnacentral:rRNA from 1 species
AACGCGAAGAACCUUACCUGGGCUCGAAAUGCAGGAGGCCGGGGUAGAAAUAUCCCUUUCUCGCAAGAGACUGCUGUAUAGGUGCUGCAUGGCUGUCGUCAGCUCGUGUCGUGAGAUGUUGGGUUAAGUCCCGCAACGAGCGCAACCCUCAUCCCUAGUUGCCACCGGGUAAUGCCGAGCACUCUAGUGAAACCGCCCCGGAUAACGGGGAGGAAGGUGGGGAUGACGUCAAGUCCUCAUGGCCUUUAUGUCCAGGGCUACACACGUGCUACAAUGGUCGGUACAAACCGUCGCAAAGCUGCAAAGUGGAGCUAAUCGGAAAAAGCCGGCCUCAGUUCGGAUUGGAGUCUGCAACUCGACUCCAUGAAGCUGGAAUCGCUAGUAAUCGCAGAUCAGAACGCUGCGGUGAAUACGUUCCCGGGCCUUGUA